AUGGUCUUCAUCAAGCACCACGAGCUUGGAACAAGAUGGAGAUCUUCUUCUAGUACAGGUAUACGUUGAUGACAUUAUUUUUGGUUCUACUAAUGAUGUCUUGUGUAGGGAAUUCGAGCGCAUUAUGCAGGAUAAAUUCGAGAUGAGUGCUAUGGGGGAAAUGACCUUCUUCUUGGGCCUACAAGUACAACAAACGGAGUCUGGGAUAUUCAUCCAUCAGACUAAAUAUGUUGGUGACAUCUUGAGCCGGUUCCAGAUGUCUGAUGCAGCGCCCAUUGGUACCCCAUUGCCAACUAAUCACGGAAUUACUCCAGACUUGAAGGGAGAAGCUGUUAGCCCUUCUAUCUAUCGCGCCAUGAUCGGAUCUCUCAUGUACCUCACAGCAUCAAGGCCAGACAUAAUGUACCCAACGUGCCUGCUUGCUAGAUAUCAAGUUAACCCGAAGGCCUCACAUCUUGCUGCUGUCAAAAGGAUUUUUCGUUAUUUGAAGACGUACCCCGACACCGGUCUGUGGUACCCUAGGGAUAAUAACUUUGAAUUGGUAGCCUUCAGUGAUUCUGAUUUUGGCGGAUGUAAAAUCGACGGCAAGUCCACAACGGCUGGAUGUCAGUUUUUAGGAAAUCGCCUAGUCACAUGGCAGU
rnacentral:lncRNA from 1 species